AUUGAACGCUGGCGGCAUGCUUUACACAUGCAAGUCGAACGGCAGCGCGGGCUUCGGCCUGGCGGCGAGUGGCGAACGGGUGAGUAAUGCAUCGGAACGUGCCCAGUAGUGGGGGAUAGCCCGGCGAAAGCCGGCUUAAUACCGCAUCCGACCUGAGGGUGAACGCGGGGGUCCGAAAGGCCUCGCGCUAUUUGAGCGGCCGAUGUCGGAUUAGCUAGUUGGUGGGGUAAAGGCUUACCAAGGCGACGAUCCGUAGCUGGUCUGAGAGGACGACCAGCCACACUGGGACUGAGACACGGCCCAGACUCCUACGGGAGGCAGCAGUGGGGAAUUUUGGACAAUGGGGGCAACCCUGAUCCAGCCAUGCCGCGUGAGGGAAGAAGGCCUUCGGGUUGUAAAACGCUUUUGUUCGGGAAGAAAGCCUCUGGGCUAAUACCCCGGGGGGAUGACGGUACCGGAAGAAUAAGCACCGGCUAACUACGUG
rnacentral:rRNA from 1 species